rnacentral:rRNA from 1 species
UACGGGGGGGGCAAGCGUUGUUCGGAAUUACUGGGCGUAAAGGGCUCGUAGGCGGCCAACUAAGUCGGAUGUGAAAUCCCCAAGCUUAACUUGGGAACUGCAUCCAAUACUGGAUGGCUUGAAUCCGGGAGAGGGAUGCAGAAUUCCAGGUGUAGCGGUGAAAUGCGUAGAUAUCUGGAGGAACACCGGUGGCGAAGGCGGCAUCCUGGACCGGCAUUGACGCUGAGGAGCGAAAGCCAGGGGAGCAAACGGG